UGAUCAUGGCUCAGGACGAACGCUGGCGGCGUGCCUAAUACAUGCAAGUAGAACGCUGACUACUUUAGCUUGCUAGAGUAGAAGGAGUUGCGAACGGGUGAGUAACGCGUAGGUAACCUGCCUACUAGCGGGGGAUAACUAUUGGAAACGAUAGCUAAUACCGCAUAACAGUGUUUAACACAUGUUAGAUGCUUGAAAGAUGCAAUUGCAUCACUAGUAGAUGGACCUGCGUUGUAUUAGCUAGUUGGUGGGGUAACGGCCCACCAAGGCGACGAUACAUAGCCGACCUGAGAGGGUGAUCGGCCACACUGGGACUGAGACACGGCCCAGACUCCUACGGGAGGCAGCAGUAGGGAAUCUUCGGCAAUGGGGGCAACCCUGACCGAGCAACGCCGCGUGAGUGAAGAAGGUUUUCGGAUCGUAAAGCUCUGUUGUAAGAGAAGAACGUGUGUGAGAGUGGAAAGUUCACACAGUGACGGUAACUUACCAGAAAGGGACGGCUAACUACGUGCCAGCAGCCGCGGUAAUACGUAGGUCCCGAGCGUUGUCCGGAUUUAUUGGGCGUAAAGCGAGCGCAGGCGGUUUAAUAAGUCUGAAGUUAAAGGCAGUGGCUUAACCAUUGUUCGCUUUGGAAACUGUUAAACUUGAGUGCAGAAGGGGAGAGUGGAAUUCCAUGUGUAGCGGUGAAAUGCGUAGAUAUAUGGAGGAACACCGGUGGCGAAAGCGGCUCUCUGGUCUGUAACUGACGCU
rnacentral:rRNA from 1 species